ACCGUAGUACGUAAACCGGCCGAACGGGGGACGGUUACCCACGUUUGNGACUUCAUGACUGGGGUG
rnacentral:rRNA from 1 species